rnacentral:misc_RNA from 1 species
UACCCCUCCGACCCUACUCUCCAAGUCGCUCGAAUUCGCCUCAAUCACAUCCGUGUCAACUCGUACCCGAAACUCACUCUCGACCUUUCUUUCUCUCUUGUCAUCAGGGUUCGAAACAGUGACUUCUUCUCUUUGGAGUAUGACUCUCUCGAUGUUUCUGUUGGGUACAGAGGGAGAGAGCUAGGGAUUGUGAAUUCUCAGGGAGGGAAACUUAGGGCGAGAGGAUCGUCGUAUGUGAAUGCCACGCUUGAUUUAAAUGGGCUCCAGAUUAUACGCGAUGUGUUUUACUUGAUCGAGGAUUUAACUAGGGGUGUUAUCCCUCUUGAUACCGAUACCAAGAUUAAUGGAGAGCUUGGGCUCUUGUUUUUCAAAAUUCCUAUCAAGGCAAGAUUGUCAUGUGAAGUGUAUGUGAGUGCUGACAGCCAGACUAUUGUCCGUCAAAACUGUUAUCCUGAGUGAUAUGGAGGCCAUAUCAUUAUCCUUGAGACUCUGGCAGAACGUAUAGAAGCGGAAGGACAUAAAGCUGCGUGCUGGGGGUAAAUAUUUUGACGUUUCCAGUAGCCCUUUGAGUAACUAUACUAAUUGUUCCAUCCGUUAAUUGCUUGUCCCAUCUGCGCAAAGGAUUCAUUUACCAAGGAACAACAGUAUCUAUGUAUUUUAACCAAACUUUUAAAUGAGUAUAACUUUCAUACAAGAAGUUAGGUUAAAAUACAUAGAUACUGUUGUUCCU